GACGGAGGCUGCAAGCGUUAUCCGGAAUGAUUGGGCGUAAAGCGUCCGCAGGUGGCUGUUCAAGUCUGCUGUCAAAGACCGGGGCUUAACUUCGGAAAGGCAGUGGAAACUGAACAGCUAGAGUAUGGUAGGGGCAGAGGGAAUUCCUGGUGUAGCGGUGAAAUGCGUAGAUAUCAGGAGGAAUACCGGUGGCGAAAGCGACUCUCUGGACGGCAACUGACGCUGAGGCACGAAAGCGUGGGGAGCAAACAGG
rnacentral:rRNA from 1 species